rnacentral:rRNA from 1 species
UACGUAGGCAGCAAGCGUUGUUCGGAGUUACUGGGCGUAAAGGGUGCGUAGGCGGCUUUUUUAAGUUUGGUGUGAAAUCUCCCGGCUCAACUGGGAGGGUGCGCCGAAUACUGAGAAGCUAGAGUGUGGGAGAGGAAAGUGGAAUUCCUGGUGUAGCGGUGAAAAUGCGUAGAUAUCAGGAAGAAUAUCCGUGGCGAAGGCGGCUCUCUGGUACGGCACUGACGCUGAGACGCGAAAGCGUGGGGAAGCAAACAGGG